AUAUAUAUAUAUAUAUAUAUAUAUAUAUAUAUAUAUCACUGAUACAAACUGGUAUACAGGGCAUUUUUUACUGAAUCACAACUACUGGGGCUAAGUCUCAAUGAGGGCUUUUUUCCUCACACAGAUACGCGUACGUAUAAAGACCAUGCUGUCCUGACUUAGUUAACUUAAGAUGGAAUGUCGAGAAUGUGAGAGGAUAUGAGAAAGCAGGCAGAUGCAGGUUUUUCAACAACGAUGACUUUUAACUGAUGAUCAAAAGGGCCCAGCUCAUCUGAAAAUAUUGCUUCACUACUGGGGCAAGCAAAGAGCCUACUGCAUGGGGUAAAUGCCCCAGUAGUUAUAUAGUUAAAAAAUGCCCUGAGUGGUAUAAUCUGUUCAUUUGAAUAAAACUCUGUGAGGUACAAGAUGAUAACUCGCCCCAUACUUGUCAGCAACUGGGAACAAGCAGUACGAACAAGCAGUCCGGGUGCACGUCGCGUUCAUUCGUCGGAAUAUGCUUCCGCCAUAGACAAUUCCCAUUAUAGACUAAUUUUAAAACUAGGCAAAGAGAUGCAAAUAAAUCACCACAGCCAGAAAGAGCAUACUAAAAUAAGUAAAAUUGCAAAGUUCGGUUGCGAAAUGUUGUAAAAUACGGCAAACAUAGCCUUGCGAAGUUCGCAAAUUUUGUAUACUUUUGUAUUGCGUGCGGAAAUUGCUACCAUUUUCUGCCCAAAUGUGUUGGCAAUUUCCGCACGCAAUACAAAAGUGUACAAAAUUUGCGAACUUUGCAAGGCUAUAUUUUCCGCAUUUUACAACAUUUCUCAACCAACAUUGCAAUUUUACUCAUUUUAGUAUGCUCUUUCCUGGAAUAUACUUUUUUGCCAAGAUAAAAAAUUAGUCUGUAAUGGGAAUUGUCCGUUACAUUGUACAUCGAAUUUGUCUUGCAGCAAUGAUUCGUCUCCUUGGAUUUGUGCAACACUGCAAGGUUCGUCAGUGGUGUACCAGAAACUCCCAGGAGUUCAGCCAUUUUCUUUGCAGGAUUUGGUCGCCGGUGAGAUGUGUGUCACCGUACGUAAACGGACUGAAGUAGUGAAAAGCGCUGAGAACUAGACAUCCAUAUAUGGCAAGCAUCACGUAGAAUAUAGUACGGACGUAUGGAAUGAUGCUAGAAACAAAAAGAGAUGAUAUCAAUAAGAAUGACGGUAGAUAGACGAUUGGCCAACUUUCUAAACGUUACA